UACGGAAGGUCCUGGCGUUAUCCGGAUUUAUUGGGUUUAAAGGGAGCGUAGGCCGGUUUUUAAGCGUGCUGUGAAAUGCUGGGGCUCAACCUCGGGAGUGCAGCGCGAACUGGAGACCUUGAGUGCGCGGGAGGCAGGCGGAAUUCGUGGUGUAGCGGUGAAAUGCUUAGAUAUCACGAGGAACCCCGAUUGCGAAGGCAGCCUGCCGCAGCGUUACUGACGCUGAAGCUCGAAGGUGCGGGUAUCGAAC
rnacentral:rRNA from 1 species